CUUGAGUUAAGUUCAGAAUUAUUGUGUGGUAUUGAUAAAGGUUCAAGUUUGGGGCUGUUGGGAAAGUUGAAAAAGAAAAAGAUAAGCAUUGAGCUAAUGUGUUGAGCAAAACAUGAAAAGAUGAAAAAGAUAGAAAAGAUUAAAAAAAAAGCUCAAUGCAAAGGGAAAGUUGGGAAUGAGUGAGAUUGGUUGUUUAAAGAGAGUUUGUUCUUAAAUUAUAAAUGUGAAUAACUCUCUUAACUCAAGGAUUUUGUGAUCUAAAAAAACCAAUGUUCUUCUUAGCCCAACCACGUUACAAGCCAUAAAUAAAGUCCUUGUGAUGAUAACUUGCUUGUGGGUAUGAUUGAUUGUGGUUAAAUGAAAGGCAAAGUUAAUUUGUGUGACAUGGUAAUAGUAGAGAGAAUGAGUCACCUCAAUAUACACUUCUGUGCUUGAGUGAAACACUUUCCUUGGUGAGGAGUAGUUCCAAUUAUACAUGAUUGCAUAUGUGCUUGGUUAAUUAGUCAUUCAUGAUAAUAGCAUCUGUUGGAAAGACUGUGAUUAUGUGACCACCAUAUUGAGUUUAAUGGAAGUAAUGCAUCUAUACAUCUUGACUGAUGUUUUUAUGAUAAGCUGAGAGUGAUUACUUGUCUUGGAUGAAAGAGUUUUGGAAAGUAUUAAU
rnacentral:lncRNA from 1 species